rnacentral:lncRNA from 1 species
GUUUUAAUAUAAUUGUGCAAACUCUAAUAGAGGACUUAGGUGUCAAGAUCUAUCUUGGGAUGUUGGAUAUUAAUACAAAUUUGGCCAGGUAACAGCCAAGAUGUGGGUGACCUCUGGACUCACGAAGAGUCAUCCUUCAGCACUCAGGAAAGGAAAAACCUCCUGUGGAGGAAACCUCUGGGGAACCAUGGCUGGAAGGACUGCCCUUCCCUCUGGGCAUUAAGAGGCAAAUACAGAGAAUUCAGUAGAUGAAGGGCUUAGUCUUUUAUAAAUUAUAUAACUUGGUGGAGAGACAGAAAGACAGGCAGAAACACAGACUGACAUAGAGAGAAAAACAGACAGAUAUAUAUAGACGGAUUACUAAAGCAGACUAAACAGAGAUUGAUACAUACCGAUAGCUGGAAAAAAGUUGCUCAUUAAGUAAUCCCCUCCCUGCCCUAUUUGCAAUCCGCCCAAUCCCUUGAUGAAGCACCAAUAUUUGAUAAUGGGUAUACGAGUAGCUGCACGGAAUACAACGCCCCCUGCUAGAACCUCCAUUGCUAAGAUUAGAUUGAGGAUAGUCAAGCUCCAAGUCUUCAGACACAUCCAAGUGAGGCAGAGAUCUCUAAGCCAUUGAGAAGGUACGAGAACCAUGAAUAUAGGUGAAGCUCUGUCAGGGUCUCAGUUAUAACUGGAAAGGAAUAGAAUGUUCAAGCAGUUACAGCAGCAAUUAUGUUUAUGACAUCACAGCAUGACAUCACCUAUUAUGAUCUCACUGCUAAUGAUCACAGCUCCUG